UUUGCAGCCAAUCUUUAUCUGAUAUACAAACUCGAGCCAAAGGCAGUAGUUUGUAUAUCAGAUAAAGAUCGGAUGCAAA